GGCCCGGUGGUGAAAUUGGCAGACACGCAGCACUUAGGAUGCUGUGCCUAACAGCGUGUGGGUUCGAGUCCCACCCGGGCCA
rnacentral:tRNA from 1 species